rnacentral:tRNA from 6 species
GGAUGUCGAAGGUUAAAGUCCUUCCUACUG